CUCCCCUUCUCUUAGAACAGCAAUGCUUCUCUGCUAGGGUUUAGAGCUCACUCGUGCUCAAGUUAGCUCAACCAGUUCGACUCCAUUUCGUAAAACUGCUCCUAGAGCUAUUGGGUUCAUUGGCUUAAGGGUCAAAGUCUAUUAUUAGCCUCUUUCCAGAUGUGAGAACUCCCUAUGGUCAUAAGGAUGACGGAGGUUUUGCUGCAUAGCCAUCCGAGCUGGUUCCACUCAUCUGAGUUCCUCUUCGGGCUAUGACCCAUGUAUUAACUUGUCUUUUAAUCUUAAUGUGGUUACUGUUGAACUUUGUACUCUAUAUUGUAUUGGCAUCGUGGUGUGCCUAAGGAUUCCAUUUUUAAGUACCUUGGAUAU